CGCCUUCCCCAUCCGCCCUCAUCAUCCUCCCCCCCUCCAACUCCUCCGCCAUCCGAUGCUCCACUUCCGGGUCCCGCAGCAGCACGUGCACUUCAUUAGGAUAAUCUGCCUCAUUAGCAACUCGGUCCCGUCCAAUCGUCGGGCCGGCGCAGAGAUUCCGACACCGACGAGCCAGCGCUCCCGAGGCCUGCCUUGGCUUCUAUUCCGGGAGAGGCCGCCUGUCAAUCAUGCCCCUCAUCGGGACCCCGAUCUGCAUGGCGCAGCUGUGACGUAACCGAGGCUAAACCUCAUGCACACACGCACGCCAAUGAAGACGAGAAAGCAGCUGCCCCCCCCAUCCCACCUCCACACACACACACACACAAAGAGAGAGCCAAGAGAAAUAGAGAUAGGAGUGCAGAGUGCAAAUAGCCUACUUAGAGUUUAAAGUGGCUAAUUAGAAAGCUAAUCAGGGCUCACUUUCUCACCCCCCGACUCUCGUAAUGAAACGCUCCUGUCCUCGGUAUGUCCCGAGACAGCUGCGGAUGGUAGCCCACUCCAAACAAAACAAAACAAAA